AAACCAGCACCUCAAGUGGUCAGGAUGAUUAUUGGGCCUAAAGCAUCCGUAGCCGGCUUUGUAAGUUUUCGGUUAAAUCCAUACGCUCAACGUAUGGGCUGCCGGGAAUACUGCAAGGCUAGGGAGUGGGAGAGGUAGACGGUACUCGGUAGGAAGGGGUAAAAUCCUUUGAUCUAUUGAUGACCACCUGUGGCGAAGGCGGUCUACCAGAACACGUCCGACGGUGAGGGAUGAAAGCUGGGGGAGCAAACCGGAUUAGAAACCCGAGUAGUCC
rnacentral:rRNA from 1 species